rnacentral:rRNA from 1 species
UAACAGCUCAAAUUUGAAAUCUGGCCCCCUCGGGGCCCGAGUUGUAAUUUGUAGAAGAUGCUUUGGGUGUGGGCCCGGCCUAAGUUCCUUGGAACAGGACGUCAUAGAGGGUGAGAAUCCCGUAUGCGGCUGGUGCCCUCGCCCGUGUAAAGCUCUUUCAACGAGUCGAGUUGUUUGGGAAUGCAGCUCUAAAUGGGUGGUAAAUUUCAUCUAAAGCUAAAUAUUGGCCAGAGACCGAUAGCGCACAAGUAGAGUGAUCGAAAGAUGAAAAGCACUUUGGAAAGAGAGUUAAACAGUACGUGAAAUUGUUGAAAGGGAAGCGCUGGCAACCAGACUUGGGUGCUGCCGAUCCGCGGGGGUUCUCCCCCGGGCACUCGGUAGCGCGCAGGCCAGCAUCGGUUUGGGUGGCUGGAGAAAGGCUGGUGGAAUGUAGCUGCCUUCGGGCAGUGUUAUAGCCACCGGUGUCAUGCAGCCCACCCGGACCGAGGACCGCGCUUCGGCUAGGAUGCUGGCGUAAUGGUUGUCAGCGACCCG